rnacentral:rRNA from 1 species
CUUGAAACACGGACCAAGGAGUCUAGCAUGUGCGCGAGUCAUUGGGAAUAACUAAACCUAAAGGCGCAAUGAAAGUGAAGGUUCGUCUCGCGCGAACCGAGGGAAGAUGGGCGUGCCGUGUUCAUCGCGGCCGCUCCGCACUCCCGGGGCGUCUCGUUCUCAUCGCGAGAAGAGGCGCACCAAGAGCGUACACGCUGGGACCCGAAAGAUGGUGAACUAUGCCUGGUCAGGACGAAGUCAGGGGAAACCCUGAUGGAGGUCCGUAGCGAUUCUGACGUGCAAAUCGAUCGUCGGAACUGGGUAUAGGGGCGAAAGACUAAUCGAACCAUCUAGUAGCUGGUUCCCUCCGAAGUUUCCCUCAGGAUAGCUGGCGCUCGUCGCCUACGAGUCUCAUCCGGUAAAGCGAAUGAUUAGAGGCAUUGGGGUCGAAACGGCCUCAACCUAUUCUCAAACUUUAAAUGGGUGAGAUCUCCGGCUUGCUCGAACUAUUGAAGCCGCGAGACACGGAUCAGAGUGCCAAGUGGGCCAUUUUUGGUAAGCAGAACUGGCGCUGUGGGAUGAACCAAACGCCGAGUUAAAGCGCCUAAAUCGACGCUUAUGGGAUACCAUGAAAGGCGUUGGUAACUUAAGACAGCAGGACGGUGGCCAUGGAAGUCGGAAACCG